AACACAUGCAAGUCGAGGGGCAGCAUGGUCUUAGCUUGCUAAGACUGAUGGCGACCGGCGCACGGGUGAGUAACACGUAUCCAACCUGCCGUCUACUCUUGGACAGCCUUCUGAAAGGAAGAUUAAUACAAGAUGGCAUCAUGAGUCCGCAUGUUCACAUGAUUAAAGGUAUUCCGGUAGACGAUGGGGAUGCGUUCCAUUAGAUAGUAGGCGGGGUAACGGCCCACCUAGUCUUCGAUGGAUAGGGGUUCUGAGAGGAAGGUCCCCCACAUUGGAACUGAGACACGGUCCAAACUCCUACGGGAGGCAGCAGUGAGGAAUAUUGGUCAAUGGGCGAGAGCCUGAACCAGCCAAGUAGCGUGAAGGAUGACUGCCCUAUGGGUUGUAAACUUCUUUUAUAAAGGAAUAAAGUCGGGUAUGCAUACCCGUUUGCAUGUACUUUAUGAAUAAGGAUCGGCUAACUCCGUGCCAGCAGCCGCGGUAAUACGGAGGAUCCGAGCGUUAUCCGGAUUUAUUGGGUUUAAAGGGAGCGUAGAUGGAUGUUUAAGUCAGUUGUGAAAGUUUGCGGCUCAACCGUAAAAUUGCAGUUGAUACUGGAUAUCUUGAGUGCAGUUGAGGCAGGCGGAAUUCGUGGUGUAGCGGUGAAAUGCUUAGAUAUCACGAAGAACUCCGAUUGCGAAGGCAGCCUGCUAAGCUGCAACUGACAUUGAGGCUCGAAAGUGUGGGUAUCAAACAGGAUUAGAUACCCUGGUAGUCCACACGGUAAACGAUGAAUACUCGCUGUUUGCGAUAUACUGCAAGCGGCCAAGCGAAAGCGUUAAGUAUUCCACCUGGGGAGUACGCCGGCAACGGUGAAACUCAAAGGAAUUGACGGGGGCCCGCACAAGCGGAGGAACAUGUGGUUUAAUUCGAUGAUACGCGAGGAACCUUACCCGGGCUUAAAUUGCAGAUGAAUUACGGUGAAAGCCGUAAGCCGCAAGGCAUCUGUGAAGGUGCUGCAUGGUUGUCGUCAGCUCGUGCCGUGAGGUGUCGGCUUAAGUGCCAUAACGAGCGCAACCCUUGUUGUCAGUUACUAACAGGUUCCGCUGAGGACUCUGACAAGACUGCCAUCGUAAGAUGUGAGGAAGGUGGGGAUGACGUCAAAUCAGCACGGCCCUUACGUCCGGGGCUACACACGUGUUACAAUGGGGGGUACAGAGGGCCGCUACCACGCGAGUGGAUGCCAAUCCCCAAAACCUCUCUCAGUUCGGACUGGAGUCUGCAACCCGACUCCACGAAGCUGGAUUCGCUAGUAAUCGCGCAUCAGCCACGGCGCGGUGAAUACGUUCCCGGGCCUUGUACACACCGCCCGUCAAGCCAUGGGAGCCGGGGGUACCUGAAGUGCGUAACCGCGAGGAGCGCCCUAGGGUAAAACUGGUGACUGGGGCUAAGUC
rnacentral:rRNA from 1 species